rnacentral:rRNA from 1 species
GAUGAACGCUGGCGGCGUGCCUAAUACAUGCAAGUCGAGCGAACGGACGAGAAGCUUGCUUCUCUGAUGUUAGCGGCGGACGGGUGAGUAACACGUGGAUAACCUACCUAUAAGACUGGGAUAACUUCGGGAAACCGGAGCUAAUACCGGAUAAUAUUUUGAACCGCAUGGUUCAAAAGUAAAAGACGGUCUUGCUGUCACUUAUAGAUGGAUCCGCGCUGCAUUAGCUAGUUGUUAAGGUAACGGCUUACCAAGGAAACGAUGCAUAGCCGACCGGAGAGGGGGAUCGGCCACACGGGAACUGAGACACGGUCCAGACUCCUACGGGAGGCAGCAGUAGGGAAUCUUCCGCAAUGGGCGAAAGCCUGACGGAGCAACGCCGCGUGGGUGAUGAAGGUCUUCGGAUCGUAAAACUCGGUUAUUAGGGAAGAACAUAUGUGUAAGUAACUGUGCACAUCGUGACGGUACCUAAUCAGAAAGCCACGGCUAACUACGUG